rnacentral:rRNA from 1 species
GGAUUGCCUCAGUAACGGCGAGUGAAGCGGCAACAGCUCAAAUUUGAAAUCUGGCCCUCCGGCCCGAAUUGUAAUUUGCAGAGGAUGCCUCGGGUGCGGUGCCGGUCUAAGUUCCUUGGAACAGGACGUCCCAGAGGGUGAGAAUCCCGUACGUGACCGGCGGCCAAGCCCGUGUGAGGCCCCUUCGACGAGUCGAGUUGUUUGGGAAUGCAGCUCAAAAUGGGUGGUAAAUUUCAUCUAAAGCUAAAUACCGGCCGGAGACCGAUAGCGCACAAGUAGAGUGAUCGAAAGAUGAAAAGCACUUUGGAAAGAGAGUCAAACAGUACGUGAAAUUGUUGAAAGGGAAGCGCUUGCAACCAGACUUGCCCGCGGGUGAUCAACCGUCCUUCGGGGCGGUGCACUCGCCUGCGAUCAGGCCAGCAUCGGUUUCGGCGGCCGGAUAAAGGCCCCGGGAAUGUGGCUCCCCCCGGGGAGUGUUAUAGCCCGGGCCGCAAUGCGGCCAGCCGGGACCGAGGACCGCGCUUCGGCUAGGAUGCUGGCGUAAUGGUUGUCAGCGACCCGUCUUGAAACACGGACCAAGGAGUGUAACAUCUAUGCGAGUGUUUGGGUGUCAAACCCAUGCGCGCAAUGAAAGUGAACGGAGGUGGGAACCCCCCCGGGGGAGCACCAUCGACCGAUCCUGAUGUCUUCGGAUGGAUUUGAGUACGAGCAUAGCUGUUGCGACCCGAAAGGUAUGUCAUCUUCACCCGCCCUUCAUAUGCGGUGGGAUUCUUAGCUAACUUGUGCCGACCGACAGAUGGUGAACUAUGCCUGAAUAGGGUGAAGCCAGAGGAAACUCUGGUGGAGGCUCGCAGCGGUUCUGACGUGCAAAUCGAUCGUCAAAUUUGGGUAUAGGGGCGAAAGGUAUGCCGAUUGUUUUCUUGGUACUGGUUGGAGCCCCAGCUAAUUUCAUGUGACAGACUAAUCGAACCAUCUGAACCUCCACCUGCUGGAUGGAACACUGGUGCUCCUCCAGGGGCGCCGCGGUAGUCUCCCGCAUGCGGGGGGCGACACUGCCGGUCAAUCGGGGACCCCCUUGGGGCAACCCGGCGUGGGCAUUUGGCCCACUCACAGACUAAGUGGCGGUGGCCGUUUCCCGGGAGAGUCCCCACGGGGGACCGCCCGAGGGUGCGGUUGCGAUAUAGCCGAUUCCUCCCCCGUGCGGGGGCCACGGUGCGAAAGAGUAGCUGGUUCCUGCCGAAGUUUCCCUCAGGAUAGCAGUAACGUUUUCAGUUUUAUGAGGUAAAGCGAAUGAUUAGAGGCCUUGGGGUCGAAACGACCUUAACCUAUUCUCAAACUUUAAAUAUGUAAGAAGUCCUUGUUACUUAGUUGAACGUGGACAUUUGAAUGCACCGUUACUAGUGGGCCAUUUUUGGUAAGCAGAACUGGCGAUGCGGGAUGAACCGAACGUGAGGUUAAGGUGCCGGAAUGCACGCUCAUCAGACACCACAAAAGGUGUUAAUUCAUCUAGACAGCCGGACGGUGGCCAUGGAAGUCGGAAUCCGCUAAGGAGUGUGUGGUGCCCCACUGUUGCACACGUACAGCGCUCGCCGCUAGCGAAGGAUCCCCCCGGGGUUUCCACCCGUGACAGCUCCAGGAUGCCGGGAUGUGCCCCUUCCCUCCGGGGGGAGGUGCAACCGGCAGCGGGGAGUGGCCCAUUGCGGGACCCCCCCGUCCACAGACUAGACGGAGCAGGCCAAGGGUCUUGGGCCCCUGGCUGAGACAUAGUCGUUUCUGGGCCCCGGGAGGGUGUCCCCGCAGGAGAACAACCCACCGGCCGAAUGAAUUAGCCCUGAAAAUGGAUGGCGCUCAAGCGUGCUACCCAUACCUCGCCGCCGGGGUAGAAACGAUGCCCC